rnacentral:rRNA from 1 species
AGAGUUUGAUCCUGGCUCAGAAUGAACGCUAGCGAUAUGCUUAACACAUGCAAGUUGAACGUUGUUUUCGAAUCAAAAUGAAAACAAAGUGGCGAACGGGUGCGUAACACGUAGGAAUCUGCCAAACAGUUUGGGCCAAAUCCUGAAUGAAUAAAAGCUAAAAAGCGCUGUUUGAUGAGCCCACGUAGUAUUAGGUAGUUGGUUAGGUAAAAGCUGACCAAGCCUACGAUCAGUAGCUGGUCUGAGAGGAUGAUCAGCCACACUGGGACUGAGACACGGCCCAGACUCCUACGGGAGGCAGCAGUGGGGAAUUUUCCGCAAUGGGCGAAAGCCUGACGGAGCAAUGCCGCGUGGAGUGAAGAAGGGCAACGCAGCUUGUAAAGCUCUUUCAUCGAGUGUGCGAUUGUGACAAGACUCGAAUAAUAAGCAUCGGCUAACUCUGUGCCAGCAGCCGCGGUAAGACGGGGGGGCUAGUGUUAUUCGGAAUGACUAGGCGUAAAGGGCACGUAGGCGGUGAAUCCGGUUGAAAGUGAAAGUCGCCAGCUCAACUGGCGGAAUGCUUUCAAAACCAAUUCACUUGAGUAAGAUAGAGGAUAGUGGAAUUUCGUGUGUAGAGAUAAAAUUCACAGAUAUACGAAGGAACACCAAAAGCGAAGGCAGCUUUCUGGGUCUCUACUGACGCUGAGGUGCGAAAGCAUAGGGAGCAAACAGGAUUAGAUACCCUGGUAGUCUAUGCCGUAAACGAUGAGUGUUCGUCCUUGGUCUGCGCUGUAUGCAAAACGGCUGAUCAGGGGCCCAGCUAACGCGUUAAGUAUCCCGCCUGGGGAGUACGUUCGCAAGAAUGAAACUCAAAGGAAUUGACGGGGGCCCGCACAAGCGGUGGAGCAUGUGGUUUAAUUCGAUGCAACGCGAAGAACCUUACCAGGGCUUGACAUAUGAAUAAGUUUGCUUGUCCUUAAUGGGACGGUACGAAAAUUUAUACAGGUGGUGCAUGGCUGUCGUCAGCUCGUGCCGUAAGGUGUUGGGUUAAGUCCCGCAACGAGCGCAACCCUCGUUUUGUGUUGCUAAGACAUGCGUUUUGGGGUCUUUGUAAAAUUGACAAUCCAUGCCAUGUACUGCACUCACAAGAAACUGCCAGUGAUAUACUGGAGGAAGGUGAGGAUGACGUCAAGUCAGCAUGCCCCUUACGCCCUGGGCGACACACGUGCUACAAUGGCAAUUACAAUAGGAAGCAAGGCUUUAAGGCGGAGCGAAUCCAGAAAGAUAGCCUCAGUUCGGAUUGUUCUCUGCAACUCGAGAACAUGAAGUUGGAAUCGCUAGUAAUCGCGGAUCAGCAUGCCGCGGUGAAUAUGUACUCAGGCCCUGUACACACCGCCCGUCACACCAUGGGAAUUGGCUUCGCCCGAAGCAUCAAACCAAGGAUCACCCAUUAUUUCAGUGUUCUACGCCGUUGUUGAGUGUGGCCUACUAGAGUAAUUGGUGGUCUAAUGUGGGAUACCAAGGUGGGGCCUUUGACUGAGGUGAAGUCGUAACAAGGUAGCCGUAGGGGAACCUGUGGCUG